rnacentral:rRNA from 1 species
CAAUAGCGUAUAUUAACGUUGUUGCAGUUAAAAAGCUCGUAGUUGGAUUUCUGGAGGGAGCGUCGGCCCGUAUUUACGAGUGCGUGACGUCUCUGUCCAUCCUUGCGGGAAGGCACGGCAUUGAUUUGUUGUGUCGGAUCGCAUCAUUUACUGUGAAAAAAUUAGAGUGUUCAAAGCAGGCUUUCGCUUGAAUACAUUAGCAUGGAAUAAUAAGAUAGGACUUUGGUGCUAUUUUGUUGGUUGAGCCUAAAGUAAUGAUUAAUAGGGAUAGUUGGGGGCACCUGUAUUGCGUUGUCAGAGGUGAAAUUCUCGGAUUUACGCAAGACAAACAGCUGCGAAANCGNNNGCCAAGGAUGUUUUCAUNAA